AGAGGGGCUGGCAGCCGAAGGAGGAGCGGCCGCGUUCUGCUGAGUUGCAGAGGGAUCAGGUUUGCUGGAGGAGGAGCGCUCAUGGCACUGCAUCUCCGAACACCAUGGAGGUGGUUUACUGUUGGAUCUGAGCAGCCACUCACUGGGCAGCACCUUAGCUGCUGUAUUCACCGUGCUGAAGGAGGCUGUGGGCAUCCUGCCCAGAGAAGCAGGAUGUCCAGGAUCGUGCCUACCUUCAACUAGGAUGUGGUGGGAACUUGAAACCUGAGACUUCCAGAAGAUGCUGGCCACCAACUGGUGCCUCACACAGAAACCCCACAGGUCCUGCCAGCGCUCGACCCUUGCUCUUUCUCCUGUAGCUUUGCCUUGGCUCAAGACCCAUCUGCACCAGUUCUCUGGUCUCUGGGAGCUCCUUUGGAGGCCUGGCUGUCCCUGUGCUCUGCAAGAGCAGACAAGAUGUGGGUCUUGCUGGAUUCCAACCAGGCCUGAACCCUCUGCAUGAAGGAGGAGACUAGAGUCUCUCCAUCCAAUUUAGGAAUUCUGUGAACAAA
ensembl:lincRNA 1700020N18Rik RIKEN cDNA 1700020N18 gene